rnacentral:rRNA from 1 species
GACGAACGCUGGCGGCGUGCCUAAUACAUGCAAGUCGAGCGCAGGAAACUGACGGAACUCUUCGGAGGGAAGGCAGUGGAGUGAGCGGCGGACGGGUGAGUAACACGUAAGGAACCUGCCUCAAGGAUUGGGAUAACUCCGAGAAAUCGGAGCUAAUACCGGAUAGUUCAUCGGACCGCAUGGUCCGUUGAUGAAAGGCGCUUCGGCGUCACCUUGAGAUGGCCUUGCGGUGCAUUAGCUAGUUGGUGGGGUAACGGCCCACCAAGGCGACGAUGGAUAGCCGACCUGGGAGGGUGAUCGGCCACACUGGGACUGAGACACGGCCCAGACUCCUACGGGAGGCAGCAGUAGGGAAUCUUCCACAAUGGACGAAAGUCUGAUGGAGCAACGCCGCGUGAGUGAUGAAGGUUUUCGGAUCGUAAAACUCUGUUGUAAGGGAAGAACACGUACGAGAGGAAAUGCUCGUACCUUGACGGUACCUUACGAGAAAGCCACGGCUAACUACGUGCCAGCAGCCGCGGUAAUAC